rnacentral:rRNA from 1 species
UGGGGAAUUUUUCGCAAUGGGGGAAACCCUGACGAAGCAACGCCGCGUGGAGGAUGAAGGCCUUCGGGUCGUAAACUCCUGUCGACCGGGAAGAAUGCACCCGACCUAAUACGUCGAAGUGUUGACUGUACCGGUGGAGGAAGCCACGGCUAACUCUGUGCCAGCAGCCGCGGUAAUACAGAGGUGGCAAGCGUUGUUCGGAAUUACUGGGCGUAAAGGGCGCGUAGGCGGCCCGCCAAGUCCCGUGUGAAAGCCCCCGGCUCAACCGGGGAACGGCGCGGGAAACUAGCGGGCUUGAGUUCGGGAGAGGGAAGCGGAAUUCCGGGUGUAGCGGUGAAAUGCGCAGAUAUCCGGAGGAACACCGGUGGCGAAGGCGGCUUCCUGGACCCGACACUGACGCUGAGGCGCGAAAGCUAGGGGAGCAAACGGGAUUAGAUACCCCGGUAGUCCUAGCCCUAAACGAUGAGAACUGGGUGUAGGGGGUAUGAACCCCCCUGUGCCGAAGCUAACGCAUUAAGUUCUCCGCCUGGGGAGUACGGUCGCAAGGCUG